rnacentral:lncRNA from 1 species
UCGGAUUCAGGAGAGGUCACGGGAGCCCUGAGCAAUGUCACAGGGUUAUUAAUGAUAUAGUCUCGGCAUUUGACUCGAAACAAAAAAUACUGCACUGCUGCAUUUCUUGAUGUUCAGCAAGCGUUCGAUCGAGUCUGGCACAAAGGUUUGUUGUACAAGAUAAAGAAAUUGCUACCUGCUCCGUACUAUUUAUUAAUCAAAUCAUAUCUGGCUAAAAUAUGCUUUUACCUGCAGCAGAAAAACGAUACUUCAUCACUACUUAUCAACUUAUCAACGCAGGCGUCCCACAAGGAAGCGUAUUGGGACCAAUUCUCUACAUCUUUAUAUGGCAUGCCAGUUACAAACAACUGCACUGUUGCAACAUAUGCUGAUGACCCAGCCGUUUUAGCCACAAGCACAUCUAUAAAUGAAGCUUCCGAACUCCUGCAGAGUGAGCUAAGCCUAAUUGAAGACUGGUUACUUCGAUGGAAAAUUAGAAUCAACUACCUGAAAUCCGUCAAAAUAACUUUUUCAUUAAGACCAGGGCAGUUAGCCCAAAUUUUAUACUUAACGGCUCACCAAUUCCACUACCUGUGUGAAGUAUCUGGGCUUGCUUCUCGACCGCAGAUUAACAUGGAAAACCCACAUUAAAGCAAAAUGUCAAAAACUCAGACUUAAAACACUAAAAAUGUCCUGGUUAAUAAGUCGAAAACAGAAACCACUUUGGAAAACAAAAUGCGCCUCUACAAAUCCAUACUGAAGCCUGUUUGGGCCUACGCUAUACAGCUCUGGGGAACUGCUAGCAACUAAAAUAUUG